UACAAAAGUAUUUCUUAAAUAACUUCGACUAUUUGAUCGCAACAAAAUUUUCAUGAAUCAGAAAAAUUUGAAAUAUUGCAAAUAUACUACUAAUAUGCCUCAGCAUUUAAAGCUUAGCUAUGUAUUAAAGCUUGUCAAUAUUGCUUCCUUAUUGGCACUUCGGCGGAUGCUGAAUGGCGGAUGCUACUUCUACAGAAAAGAAAAAUAGGUGAACUACUUCGCGUCUAUUCAUUUGUUACGGACUGUUUGUCCUCCAUGGGUCGCGCCGGCUGGCUCAUCGGUACUCAGGAGGAGUUCCAUCCCUGGCCCGCAGUCCGCACAAUCGAUAACUCCACCGAAACGAAACAGCUGCUUUAAAACAGAAGAAAUGCAUCACAAAACAAAACAGCUGCCGCGCAAUUGAAAAUUGCGCCAAACAAAAAGGAAAUACGAAAAAACACGGGCCCAGUUGGACCCCGGCGUACCUCUCUGCCAGAGAUGGCCACAUCGGCGCCAUCUCCUUGCGUUGGCCACUAUAUCAGUGGCUGCGGCGUAGCGCUGUGGAAUUCCUCCCUUCAUGAUGAGAAAACUCACACAACCAUGUUCAACAUUUUUAUAGAUAUUUGAAUUUCAAUACGGAACAGGAUUCGAAGCAAAAGCAAACAACAAAACAAACAAAGCGAAACAACAAAGAAAUAACAACGGAGUAGGGACAAUUUAUGUGGUA